UACCUCCUGAGUAGUGUACUCCUUUUACUCCAACCCAAUUGAAUUAAGUUCUCUUCGCUCAUCACGUCACUGCCUUUACAAGAAAGAUGAGUACUGUCGACGCCAAUGCACAGUCAUCCUCCUCCCUCAUCAAAGAUUUCCUCCACAAAUGCGGCGGGGUUGCCGUGAUCGACGGCGGCUUUGCGACGGAGCUGGAACGUCAUGGCGCCGACCUCAAUGAUCCUCUUUGGAGCGCUAAAUGUCUCCUCACUGAUCCUCACCUCGUCCGCGCCGUACACUUGGAUUACCUUGAAGCUGGUGCAGAUAUUAUACUCAGUUCAUCUUAUCAGGCAACUAUCCAGGGGUUUAAGGCCAAAGGAUAUUCCCUAGAAGAAAGUGAAUUCUUGCUCAAAAGGAGUGUUGAGAUUGCGUGUGAAGCACGAGAUGUGUACUAUACUAGAUGCUGUAAAUCUUCGUCUGAUCAUAGCACUGAUGGAAAGGUUCUCAAACAGCGUCCUAUCUUAGUUGCAGCAUCUGUUGGGAGUUAUGGGGCCUAUUUAGCUGAUGGUUCUGAAUACAGUGGGGAAUAUGGAGAUGCAAUUGAUCUCAAGUUUCUAAAGGAUUUUCAUCGAAGAAGGGUUCAGCUUCUUGCAGAAUCUGGUGCUGAUCUAAUAGCUUUUGAGACUGUGCCAAAUAAACUAGAAGCACAGGCUUUUGUUGAGCUUCUUGAGGAAGAAGACAUAAAGACUCCUGCCUGGCUAUCCUUCAACUCUAAAGAUGGUAUAAAUGUUGUUAGUGGUGAUUCUUUAUCAGAAUGUGCUGCAAUUGGUGAAUCAUGUGGAAAGGUUUUAGCUGUUGGAAUCAACUGUACUCCUCCUAGAUUUAUUCUGGAUCUUAUUCGAUCCAUCAAUCAGACCCAUAAGGAAGAGAGGAACUGCAGAGGAGAACUGGUUUUACUUACACACAGAAACAUACGUUUCUGUUAUACUGCAUGGGAACAUAUUCGGCAAUUUUGGGCCUAUAACACCUGCUUAUCAUGGACUAUAAUGCCUUCAUUGUCUUGGACUAAUGCCUCCACUGACAGGGGUCAUGGAGCCAUGUGUGUGUCCUGUUGAAGGUCUAUUCUUGGAUGCUUCUCAUUUUUUAUCUAUGAAUACAUGCAGGUAUGUUAGGUCUUGCAAUGCUAGCAGUUCAAAGGCGAAAGCUAGCUACAUUGAACAAGUAUCCUAACUUUAAUAUGGACUAGGUGAAUAAUGAAUUAAGGAUAUGGAGGACAAUUAUUUCGAGAGAAAAUGAUUUUUCUUAUUUUUUCUCUUGUUUGGAUUUUAGGCGGAAAAUAACAAGUAAAUUCGUCUUUUAAAUGUUAGCGGGUCCUUGCUCUUUCCUUUUGUCAAACCAGACAAGCAAAUGGAUAAUUUUGAAGUAAUGCUUAGGUUGCUUAUUGUUCUCGGUAACAACAAAACCAAUCCUUAUAUACCCCAACAGUGGUGAGAGUUACGAUGGUGAUCGGAAGGAGUGGGUG